rnacentral:rRNA from 1 species
UACGUAGGGGGCAAGCGUUGUCCGGAAUCAUUGGGCGUAAAGAGCGCGUAGGCGGUCCGGUAAGUCGGUUGUGAAAACUGGGGGCUCAACCCUCAGAGGCCGACCGAUACUGCUGGGCUAGAGUCCGGAAGAGGCGAGUGGAAUUCCUGGUGUAGCGGUGAAAUGCGCAGAUAUCAGGAGGAACACCAAUAGCGAAGGCAGCUCGCUGGGACGUUACUGACACUGAGGCGCGAAAGCGUGGGGAGCGAACAGG